GACAACAUGGAACCCAUUUGUUAUUGUUCAUAUUACGAAAAUUGUGUAAAAAUUAAAUGCUUAUUUAAAGCAAAUACUUAAAUAUUUAAUAUAAAAUAAAUAUGUAGAAACACUGAAGUGAAAAGUUAGUGUAUAAUAAGUGCAUAAUAUAAAAGAAAAUAUAACCAUAAAUCGAGAAAUUGUAAAAUGAAUUUUGUGAAAUUUUCAACUUAAAAUGCAAAUAUCUCGAAAACUAUAAGUUUCCGGCGGCAAUAAUUAUAUAUAUUCGUGAUCUGGAGAAUCUCCUCUAUCCAACCAUACGCCUCUUAACCCUGAAAUCGUGGGAUGCUAAACUAAAGCCCACCCAAAGUACAUAUUAAUUUCUAUAACAAGAUUCAAAACCGGCUUAAAAAAAGGACACGGUAAUGCGAGCAGCUAUUACACCCCGAAUGAAAUUGUGUGUGACUCUAAGGUACUUAGGUACUGGAGACUCUUACAAAUCCUUAGAGUUUUUAUUAAGAAGUCUUCAACCGUCUUAAAUAAAGAUGCCCACUACGGUAUGCGAAUGGCAGCAAAUAACUAAUGAUUUUGAAAACUUGUAGCAAUUCCCCCAUACAUUGGGUGCGAUCGAUGGCAAGCAUGUUAGAAUUAAAGCCCCAGAACACACAGGCUACCAAUUUUAUAAUUUUAAAGGAUAUCUUAGCGUUGUCCUAUUUCUUGCUGUUUCACAUGCUGUUUUGCACACGUGAAUAUAGGUAGCAAUGGCAAGUUAUCACACAACAGUAUUUAUAGUGACAUUUAUUUAUACCAUCCUCUGAAGAGAAACACCUUUAAUACAACUCAGCUUGUUGUCGGCGAAGGAAAUAAAAUCCUAUAUUUUUUUAUUGGGGACGAAGCUUUCGCUUUGGACUGGCACCUUAUGAAACUGUGCAGUCAAAGCUCGAAAUUGAGUGUGCCCCAGGAAAUUUUCAAUUACAGUCUAUGUCGCAAGGAUGACAGUCGAAUGUGCUCUCGGGCGAGAGUCACAUAGGUUCAGAAUUUUUCAAAGACCCAUUGAGGUGCAACGCAAGACGGCGGACGCUUUGCUAAAGUCUUGUUAUGUGCUUCACAACUAUUUAACACCACUAAGAGCGGUAGGAAAAGUACCACAAUCAGAUUAAAAUUUAAUUGUAGAAUUAUUUCAGCAAUUGGUGUUCAAAACCACAAAACAUAUAGGUAUGCAUGCAAAGCUAGAGACGAGUUGUCACAAUAUUUAGCCACAUAUGGAAAUGUUGAGUUCCAGGUGCAAGAGAUAAAUAUAAAUUAAACAAUAUCUGGAAAAAUUAAACACACAGUUUUCCGAUUAAUAAGAGAAAACUCCAGGAAAGCCAUCUCGUUAUACCAAAAUACGGUUGGAGUAUAUAAGGAGUCUGUACCACAUCCACAUUUUUGGCUCCUUUACACCUUACUGCUCUCUGCAUUGUAUGCUGUGCGAAGAGAUUUGACUUUCUUUUUUUCAUUCUCCACAUGCAUUUUAGUUUCAGCCGAAAUUGAGUCAUAAACUUUAAUUUUUAUGUAAAUUCGGCGAUAACACAAAAGAUUCGUAACCAAUAGAACUGUAUGGCUUUUAUAUACGGUAAACUUACUUUAAAAUGUGAUCAGCUGUUCAAAAAAGAUCGUUAACUUGCCACUCGGCUUGAAUGAAAAAAUUGAUAUCAAGACGGCUUUCAAGUUCGAAAAGUGAGAGUUUGGUAGUAAAAAAGUGUGAAAGUGUUGCAACUUUCAAGCAAUUCCUUGAUCGUGCAACGUCCGGAUAACUUAGGCUGGAAACAGUCAUCGACAUUCCGCCUUUACCGCCCAUAUCAAAAGAAAUUUUUUAAAAGUUAUGGCCAUAGUGGCAACGUAAAGAUCAGUUGCUCUCUUUUGUUUUCAUUUCACCAAUGUUGCCAUUGAUCAAUUUGUAUAGAUGAUUUUGCACACAUUUAGUUUUUAGUUAUAUUUUUUUAUAAUUUUCAUUUCCCAGCUAUUAAAAAUAGUCUACCUAUUUAUAAAUAAAUGUAUUCGACUGUGACUUUUAAGAAUAUUUCAAAUAUAUUCAAGUUUACUUUUUAAUUACUACAAAAUACCGAGAGGUGCAACCCUGCGUUGCAAGAAAGCAAUCAGCUCACUACAGGAAAAAAUUCGUUUCUACAGGAAAAAUCCAAUUUUCGUGGAUAUCCUACCGUACGGUAUGUAUAAGGGGAGGGUAUAACCGGGUGAGUAUCAUUUGCAUUGCGCUUUCAUAAGAUAGGUCGUACCACCUUAUUCGGCCUACGUUUUGCGUCGGUGACUGUUUCUAGCAUUAUAGGUACCCUACAAGAUGAGUUAAAGUUAGGUUUAUUAUUAAUUAUCGAUAGGUUGUCAUUAAUUAAUGCAUUAGUUAUUCGAUAGGUUAUUUUUGUUCUAGUCUCGGGAAAAAAGUAACUUUUCCUCCUCUUUCACUACACGUCGGUGUGAUUAUGUUAUUCGCUCUCUCUCAUUACUUUUGCGGAAAUACUACACAUAUUUUACUGCUUUAAUUUGCCAACUAUUUUGGAAAACUAUCUGUUAUUCUUUGGUUAACAGCGUCUUUUUCAUUCCUAUUUGUUGGAUUAGCCAUCUGUUACUGCAAAUAGUUUGUUUGGUUACUGUUAUGGUUACAUAUAAGUUACAGAAAACUGAUUCAUAGGUUAUUUGUUCGGUUAGCCUUUGGUUACUGAAAACUGGUUGAUCAAUUACCACGUUAACUUCUAUAGUAAUAGAUACCACAGUUUCACGACGUAAGCAGGGACGAUCUGGUAACAGUCCGCCCCGGCCGUAGUCGUGAGGAAUCUGGUUAAGGUCACCUGUGUGUUCGUUGUUCCUCAAUAGCACAGUAUACAGAUAAGGAGCCUUACCAUCGUCGGGGGUACUAUAAAGGGCUGGAUCAAGGUGUCGUGCGACCCGUGCCGAGGGUCAACGGAGCCGAUGGAUACCUGGCGCCCUCCGUAAUAAGAUAACCUUAUUUGCGUAGCGGGAUCCCACCGAUUGGUUGCGCAAGGACAGUCAUACCAAAUUUCAAGCUGGAACCGCCAGUACAGGCUGCCAAACGGCAAAGAUCAGCUGAAGAGGCUAAGCCGUCAGCCAAGAGUGCGACGAUAAAGGGCAUAACGCCCGCAAAAUAAUUUGCCGAUAUGGCCCGAAACCGAAUUAUCAAUGGCGUUAUGAAUGAGGGCGAUCCCCCGGGUUCGCCACCGUCAUGCACACAUGCCGGCUGGUACCAGGGCCAAAUCAAAAUGAUUGCAUGCGACGACGGGAAAUCGGUCGCUUUAUACAAAGCUGCUAUAGCCAAGGUAGGGGAGGUAUAAUCGGCACAUAAUAGGUAGCAGUAGAUAAAAGGGAUAUACCAUCCAGACCAUAACAGCCGGAUCAGAUUAUGCGGCUCAUAAGAGCCGAGAGGUGGAAGUUCGUCAAGGCAUUUAUUGGUAUCGAAAAAAUUGGACGCCGAUGCUGCAGACCAUCCAGCAUCAGAAAACGAGAUACGCAAAGUCGAGGAAGAUCCUAUGGAGUCUUCGAGUGAUGUGGAAAGUAUAGAUCAAGGUAGCUAUGGACGCUGAAAUGCCGGUUACACCAACGCCAAUCAUACGUUUGGCUGUCGUGCCCUGGUUCUACUCCCGUAGCAGCGGCUCGGAACAACCACGGCAACAACUGCACCGACCGCUGCACGAAGUGCCAUGCGCCCAACGCCGACUUUAGUUUCGAAGCUGCCCGUCUCCGAUGCCCGCUCUGUUGCCGUUCACACCGGCUGCAGCACUACCCCAUUUUUAAGGGUAUGACGCCCAAUCAACGGCUACAGGUGCCCCAGGCACAUGGGCAUUGUUUGAAUUGUUUGGCCCAUACGCAUGACACACAGGAAUGCGUGUCCGACAUCACGUGCCAGCAUAUGUGACAGACCGCAUCAUACCUUGCUGCAUAGAAAUCCAAGACGCCUUGUUGCACGGCCCUCCGUACCCCGCAGUCAUGAUGCACCCCGGCGUCUGCAGCCGAGCCGUGCAGGGCGACCCCGUCGACGACAAGCACUCGCCGCACCCCGUACCUGGCGCCAACUCAAUGGCACCUCGACGCGACACCAACCCUUAAGGCCGCGAACCUGCCGCAGGACAGACCACAGCAACGCUGUGGCAAGGCUGCAACAGCUCCAGCGUCUGCUAGGCUGAACAAGAUGUUUCAUCUAUGGGGGCCGGGAUGGCUAAAUGAAUUAAGUUUCCCACCCUGAUGCAUUCAACAUACAACACAACACACCACCCACAAGACAACACUGGCACACCACACCAUUAAAAAAUGCACUUAAAGGACUCCGUUGUAUCCUCUUCGUAAAAGUGGUAAAAGGUGAGUGUUAAAGUGAAAAGAAUAUUCACCGCGAUUUGAUAGUAGAUGGAUAGAUGAGUUUCUCCAGAUUAAGAAAUAUGCAAUGCAAAUUAAUGCAUGCUGAUUCACUGAGUUAACCACACUAUGCGCAUAUUUUUCACUUCAUUUUCACUUAUCAAGUUGAUAUGAACACUUAUCACCAUGUACAUAUCUGUUUUGCCCGCAAUUUCAGCACGAUUUAAAUUUGUUAAAUUCAACUGUAAUCCAAUCAACUCGCAAUCCAAAAAACCUAAAGAAAUUCAUAAUAUAUUAUAUUAGUAUAUAAUAUAAAAGAUAUUCUAUUAUAAAAAUUUUAACAUAACCACAUUAACCAAAUUGGUUCCUAAUUAUAAACUUUACAUAUAUGUACUAUGUAUGUACACAUAGCCAAUAAAGUCUGCGUACACCUGACACUAUUUUUUAAGUAAAGUAAAAACACCAUGUUAAUAGGUAAUUCAGUUCAAAUUUUCUACAUGUAUUUGUUCUUUAUAUAUUUAAGUUCCAAAAACAAAAACAAAAAUGUAUAUUCCUAUUUAAAUUUUUGUGAUUACGGGAUUUUAGUGUAAGGAGAAGUAAACAUAGGCACUAUUAAGUCUGCGUUCAGCUUAUUUGUUUCCUCAACUGCAAUCUGGGGCCAUUCUUCUUUCAUAACACUUCGCAAAGCCUCUUUACUUGUUAUUGUAUGCUGACGAAUUCUUCUUUCCAACAGAUCCCAUAGAUGCUCAAUAGGAUUGAGGUCAGGUGAUUGAGGGGCGUUUUAAGUUGUCUAGGAGCAUUGUACAAGAGCCAAAGUCUAACUAUUUCCGCAGUAUGCUUCGGGUCAUUAUCUUGUUGGAACCAAAACGUCGAAGAUAAUCCAAGAUUCUCUGCACUUUGUUUCAAACUGUAUUUUAAAAUGUUUAAAUAACCCCAUUUAUCCAUGGUGGAUUCAAUAAAUUCAAUUGACCCACACCACCAGCCGCCAUGCAACCCCACACCAUAAUUCCGCCACCUCCGUGUUUAACUGUACCAACAAUAUUUUGCUUUUCUAGGGCAGUUCCUGACUUGCGCCACAAAAUUUGUCGACCUUUUAUGCCAAAAAUGCAAAAUUUACUUUCAUCCGAAAAUAUUACUUGUCUUCGGAAUUCCGGCGACUUAUUUAUAUAAUUAUGAGCAAAUUGUAUGCGCUUUCGCUUGUUUACAAGUGAAAUAUAUGGUUUCUUUCGAGCGACUGUACCAUGAUAUCUAGAUUUUCGUAAAAUUUUUCUAGCAGUUUCGGCACAAAUUGUUUUUUUAAUGGUUAUAUUUACGUUUUUAAUAAUCUUUGUGGACGUAAUUCGAAGGUUAACUUUCACCAUAUUUAUUAUUUUCCGGUCUUCCCGGGCUGAUAAUAUUUUCGGACGGCCAGAUAUAUAUAAACUCUUGGUAAAAGUAUCAUACUUUAUAUUGUCAAUGGUCUUCGUUUGUUGGUUUCCUAUUUUGAAGAGAGUUUAAUUUAUUUACUAAACACUUCAGAAUAGUAAUAAUUAAGAAAAAUUCACAACUUACCUGACGCUCUUCAAAUGUUAAUUUUUGACAGAUUCAUUGUCUAUGUGUGUAUUUAAUGUCUUUCCAACUCUAUCCAAUUGCAAUUAUGGCAAGUUAUCUCUUUCUAUGAUACCUCUUCUGUGUGUAUCCUAUUGAUUCUAAUUUAUUUAGCAGUAUGGCAUAUAUUGGUUACCGAAUUUGUUAUGUUAACAGUCAGUUAGAUGUACAAAUAUAUUCAUCGACGUGUUACUCUACCGGUUAUCCAUCUGUUGCCUCUAAUAAAUGCAUAUGUUAGCAUAUCGGUUACCUUUUUGCUACCACAAAUGUUUCCUGAUUGUCACACACAAUACUAGGUCUGAGAAAGCUCGGGAAUUAAUACUUGAUCUUCUUUGAUCAUAGGAACCUGAGUUUUAGCUGGAAUGAAACGCGUUUAGCUAGCACACAUUUGUUUCAGGAACCUUAGAAACAAAAAUUGGGAUCUCGCUUCAAUUGAGCACGCUGGAACGGCUAAUCGACUUGAUUAUCAGGAACUGAAUACCGAGGAAUAAAAUAGUGGCGACUGAGUAUACCUACAGCAAAGGCAGGUCGUUAGACACUGUAAAGCCAAUAACAUUUUAUGGUGUAGGUGCUUCAGUUCACCGGACUACCACUGCUUUUCAAGCAGAGGUAGCUGCAACAUCAUUUAGAGAGUUGUACAUUCACUUCGAUAGCAGAGCGGCACCACUGACCUUGAGCUCUCAAGAUUUUUACUAAGGUUCAUCUCGUUAAAAUAAUAAGACAAUCUCCUAGUGAUACUCGGUCUGUGCGGUCAAAGAUUGUGAAGAAUGCAAAUUUUCAAAGUUGCACGGAGGAGCAGGUGAAUCGGCUUAAAUUAAUAUUAGAGGCCUCAAGAAAUUUCUAACAGGCUCAAUGCCAUCGUUUCUAGCUGUCCAAGUGCGAUCAUUCGUGACCUUACGAAUAUCAAUACGAGUGGGGCCAUGAAAAAGCAAAUAAAGUAAUACACAUAAAACAGGACCAAAAAAGUAUUAUUAAUUUAGAAAUCAGUUAGACGAAAACAAUGACUUUACUUGUUAUUAUAAAAUAUAUUAUAUAUAUGUAUAUAUUUAUAUGCAUUUUAGCAUACAAUAUUCACUUUUAUAUACACAUAUGUUUUUCUAUACAUUUAAUUGUAAUAUAUUGCAAUUCAAAGAAAGUUUUAAGGAUGAUAUUGCAGGACAUAAACCUUAUUGAAUUUGCUCCAUAUUAUGCUAUGCGCUUAAAAUAAAAAAGUUUCCAUUAUUUCCAUUAAAUGGAGAAUUAAAAUUACCACAAAGUACGACGUUGAAAUGUUUUCUUAUAAUAAAUCUUGAACGAUGUGAAUAUAUAAUAUCUCGAACAGUAGGGAGGACGGACGUUACUGAACAUAUUAACGGUUAUCUAACCACUACAAAUUUUUUGUCGGAACAUGGUGUUAUGUGGAACGUGUUAUCUCUCAGGCACCUGUCGGUGCCAGUUCAGAUACUUACUUUUUUGUCGCCCGAACCGAGUUUUUGUACCGAGUUUGUUCGCAACAGUUCGCCGCUACACAAUAUACGUUAUGUUCAGAAAUAUGAAUUUUUUGUAUGUAAUAUGCACAUAUGCAUAGAAUAAUAGAAACAUUUUGAAAAUUGAGAUCAAAUUAAGAUACUCAAAAAUAUUUGAUUUAAAUUUUUAAUAAGAUUUAGCAUAAUUAAAUGUAAUAAUGUUAUAUAUAUAUAAAUAAAUUUUAAUA